UCAAAGUUGAACCUAGAUGAGUGU
rnacentral:siRNA from 1 species